rnacentral:rRNA from 1 species
GACGAACGCUGGCGGCGUGCUUAACACAUGCAAGUCGAACGAGUGGCGAAAGGGUGAGUAACACGACGGUGCUCCGCCUUGCACCUCGGGAUUAGCCUGGGCUACUGGGUCCAAUACUGGAUAGUGCAGGAAGAGCCUGCGGCCUAUCAGCUUGUUGGUGGGGUAAUGGCUACCAAGGCGCGACGGGUAGCCGGCCUGUGAGGGUGUACGGCCACAUUGGGACUGGGAUACGGCCCGAACUCCUACGGGAGGCAGUAGUGGGGAAUAUUGCACAAUGGGCGGAAGCCUGAUGCAGCAACGCCGCGUGGGGGAUGACGGCCUUCGGGUUGUAAACUGCUGUCGGCAGGGACGCGGUAGCUGUAUAAGAAGCACCGGCUAACUACGUGCCAGCAGCCGCGGUAAUAC